UAGGGCGAAAGCCUGAUGCAGCAACGCCGCGUGCGGGAAGAAGGCCCUAGGGUUGUAAACCGCUUUCAGCAGGGAAGAAGAUGACGGUACCUGUAGAAGAAGGUGCGGCCAACUACGUGCCAGCAGCCGCGGUGACACGUAGGCACCAAGCGUUGUCCGGAUUUAUUGGGCGUAAAGAGCUCGUAGGCGGUUCGGUAAGUCGGGUGUGAAAACUCUGGGCUCAACCCAGAGCCGCCACCCGAUACUGCUGUGACUUGAGUUCGGUAGGGGAGCGGGGAAUUCCUGGUGUAGCGGUGAAAUGCGCAGAUAUCAGGAGGAACACCAGUGGCGAAGGCGCCGCUCUGGGCCGAGACUGACGCUGAGGAGCGAAAGCGUGGGUAGCAAACAGGAUUAGAUACCCUGGUAGUCCACGCCGUAAACGUUGGGCACUAGGUGUGGGUCUCAACCAACGAGAUCCGCGCCGUCGCUAACGCAUUAAGUGCCCCGCCUGGGGAGUAGGGUCGCAAGACUA
rnacentral:rRNA from 1 species